rnacentral:rRNA from 1 species
GACGAACGCUGGCGGCGUGCUUAACACAUGCAAGUCGAACGGUGAAAGCGGAGCUUGCUCCGCUGGAUCAGUGGCGAACGGGUGAGUAACACGUGGGCAACCUGCCCCUCACUUCGGGAUAACUCCGGGAAACCGGGGCUAAUACCGGAUAUGACCUCCUUGGGCAUCCUUGGAGGUGGAAAGUUUUUCGGUGAGGGAUGGGCCCGCGGCCUAUCAGCUUGUUGGUGAGGUAGUGGCUCACCAAGGCGACGACGGGUAGCCGGCCUGAGAGGGCGGCCGGCCACACUGGGACUGAGACACGGCCCAGACGCCUACGGGAGGCAGCAGUGGGGAAUAUUGCGCAAUGGGCGAAAGCCUGACGCAGCAACGCCGCGUGCGGGAUGACGGCCUUCGGGUUGUAAACCGCUUUCAGCAGGGAAGAAGCCGCAAGGUGACGGUACCUGCAGAAGAAGCACCGGCUAACUACGUGCCAGCCGCCGCGGUAA